GCAACUAUAGGAGACAUCCAAAGGGAUCGCAUUGAUCCUAAAACUCUUCUCUUUCAUAAUUUAAUCUCUCUUUUGGAUCAUGCUAUCCCUUUGGAUUCCUCCUUUGGUAGC
rnacentral:pre_miRNA from 1 species